GUCUACGGCCAUACCACCCUGAACGCGCCCGAUCUCGUCUGAUCUCGGAAGCUAAGCAGGGUCGGGCCUGGUUAGUACUUGGAUGGGAGAAACUAGUUCAGCAUCAAAU
rnacentral:rRNA from 1 species